CUUGAACAUCCUGUGGCCCUGGCUCUGCCAGGGGAAGUGCUAACCUGAGAAAGAGGGAAGCCAUCAAGUUACUCAUGCUGACUCACAGGAGGGAUGCAGCCGUGGGAAUGCCUUGAUAUGUCACCUGUGCCUGAGGGUGGCUUUCUGCAGCCAGGUCCUGGGUCUCUAUGUCCUUUCAGUUUACUCAGGUCCCUGCACCAGGUAUCUGAUGGUGGCCUGCUUUCAGCACAUACCAUCCCUAGUCAUGGUCAUAGCAGUUCUUGCUUUUGUGUUUAAGCUGUCCUGCUGUGACACUGGGAAUAAGUUUCUGUCAAACAAUCAGACAAUAAAGAGGUGUGCAAGGAGCAAAUGAAGGAUGCAACUCUACCAGCACCGACCUUAACUUUGAAAUGUUUUUGAUAGAUAUUUAAACCACCACCACCCCCUUUUGUAAAAAUGUUAUAUAAUAAAUGUCAUUGUUUUCUUUCCAUUGGGUUUGGUAUUUCAACACCUGUAGAAAACCUUUGCUAUUGAGAAGUAUGCCAUUGAGUCUUGGCACAUUUUCUGAUAGCAAACAUUUUAGAAUAUAAAAACUAUUUGGCAGGGACAGGCAGUCUUAGAGUAGUGACCUGGUUGGUUUGUGGUUCUUCAGGACACUUGGUGAAUUCAGCUUUCCAGACAUCUUUAUCUCUCUUACUUUCUUUUUGGGUUCAAAUGUCCUAUGUCUGUAACAGAAGACUGAACUGACCUGAAAUAAUGAGGCUAGCAGUGGUAAGCUCGGAUUACUGGAGAUAAGACAGGGUUAAGAGACUCGACUUGUUAAUUGCUGGACCUUCGACUUUUACCCCUGAAGUUGUAUUUGCUGUCCUCUGCUUGGUCACUUUUUCCCCUUGUGGUACUGAAACAGCCAACAGUUCCUUUUCUCCAGCUGUUCAUGAUGCUCAGAGAGAGAAAGGAAAUGUUUUAGGAACAUGGCGUGAAGAACAUUCCUAUCCCAGAAGCAGAUGUGUUGAGCAUCUUGAUGUGACCCAAGCUGCAUGUCACCCUAUUCCUCAGUCCACCCCUCCUGUCACAGAGUAUCUUCCCUGAUUGUCUGAGGUCACGUGUCCUCGGCUGACCACUGUAUCUGUGGAGGAUAGGACUGCCUUGGCUGUUCUGGGCUAGGAUUCUCAAAGCCUGGCUCCUAAGCGGCAUUUUCCUGCCAGUGCUCCAGACCUGCUACUCAGAAAUGUGAGCUUGUCAGACCUUCAGAUGCGCUCUGAUCAUCUCCUGCUAAGAGUAAAUAGAUUCUAGUUCUGGGUUGAGAUCAGUCUCCUUGGAUGUUACACUGGGAGGAAAGAUGUGACAGUGGGUAUCUG
rnacentral:lncRNA from 1 species